GACACAGACUAGGUGCUGGGAGAAGGGUAUAUAAUGCUGAUGACCAGCCUCAGCAGUUUUGGGGGUCUGAAGGAAGGAUACCUGGAAGGUGCAGUAAUGAUUCAGAGACAGUGUUCAGAUCUAGUUGUGCCAGGAUGUGGUGAGUGAAGUAAAGCUGAAGAUAAAAGCUGAGCAAAGAGCCUGGUUCUGUGUCCCUAAGGUCAUAAUGAGCACAGUGUCAGGAAGCGAUUAGGAAGAGCCAGAAGAAUGAAACAGAGAGAGGCAGAAAAGGAGCCUUCAGCUCAAAACAGUCCAUACCCACAAAGCAACCCUAUGAUACUGAUAUAAUUUUCUUGGUACUGGUGUUUAAUUUAAGAAGACUAAAGAUGAAUAGCUUGCAAAGGUCAUAAGUUCACAGAGGACAGAGCUAAACCAAUCGUGAACCACAUCUUCAUAGCCAGAUAGCAUCUGUAUGUGGUACCUCUUAUUAGGAGAAGGAAGAGGACACCAGGACUGCUAUGGGAGUCCCUGAGAGGUAGAAGAACAGUGAAGCAGUGUAAAGUACCAACGGGAACAUUUGGCAUGCCUAGCUAAAGAGGUGCCACCGACGAACAAAGUAUCCUAGGUGCACAUAAAGGCACUGCUGGGUAGAAGGGCAUGCAGGGUUUUCUCUGUAGGUAAAUAGAGGUCAGAGGUAUAAAUGUCUGGAGCAUGUUAUGAAGGACUGUGUUAUUCAGUCAGCACAAUGAUGGGGUGAGCAAGCCAGAGGAGAACAGCUGUUACAGAUCCACGUGCACACAGUGGAAGUUUUCCUUCACCAAUGAAGCAGUGAUUGCACAUUGCUUCUUGAAGGACAAGGUGAUGGCCAUGUCUGCAUCAGGGCUGCCAGAUCAAACAAGUCAAGCUUUGCAAAGUCAGUCUGCUAACGAGACGCUCAGACUCUCAGGCAUGUGGCCGGAAGACACAGAUUACCUCAGACUUCACAUGGUUAUUUCUGGGGGAAUUUAGCUAGUGUUCCUCAGAAGCCAAUAUCCAUAAAUAAACAUGGGAUGCAACCAUGGAACUGAUUCUACUGAAA